rnacentral:lncRNA from 1 species
CUUUAUUGUUAAAAGAAAGCAAGGUGAUCCAAUGUACUCUCUGUAUAUAGGAGAAGCCUGGAGUCACCACCCUGCUUCGGUGUGCAGCGCAUGACUGGUUCCUGACUUUGGGAGCUUUCAGCUUCAUGGAGUCAUACAGGCAUUAUUAUAAUCGUAUAAAUGAACAUGUAGCUGCAAACUGUGAUAAAGGUGUACUCAGCAUCAUUUUUGUAGUUAACACAGGAAGU